AAUGUCGUUUUUCACUAUUUAGGUCGAUUAUGUCUUGCAUAUUGUGAUAGUCGAUUAUUUGGAGUCGGCUUUCUGCUUCAGAAAACCACCGGUUUGUGAAUUUUCAUACAUGUUUUUAUAGCAGCGUUUUUGCAAAUAUAACAGAGACCACCUUACAUACAAUAAACUACAGUUAGACUUCACAGACGAGCAAUUGCUGCGGAAGGUGUGUGUUGAAGAGCUAGGUGGCCCAACUAUUGUGGUUUUUAGAAACGAAAGCACGUAUGCGCGUAUUUCUACC